UACGUAGGGCGCAAGCGUUGUCCGGAAUUAUUGGGCGUAAAGAGCUCGUAGGCGGCCUGUUGCGUCCGCUGUGAAAACCCGGGGCUUAACCCCGGGCUUGCAGUGGAUACGGGCAGGCUGGAGGCAGGCAGGGGAGAACGGAAUUCCCGGUGUAGCGGUGAAAUGCGCAGAUAUCGGGAGGAACACCGGUGGCGAAGGCGGUUCUCUGGGCCUUAUCUGACGCUGAGGAGCGAAAGCGUGGGGAGCGAACAGG
rnacentral:rRNA from 1 species